rnacentral:rRNA from 1 species
AAUCAACGCUGGCGGCGUGCCUAACACAUGCUGGUCGAACGCGAAAGGGGCGUUCGGUCCUGAGUAGAGUGGCGUCCGGGUGAGUAACGCGUGGGUAAUCUACCCUUGGGUGGGGAAGUAACCAGUCGAAGAUUGGCUAAUACCGCAUAAUGCAGCGGCUCGACAUCGAGACAGUUGUUAAAGCAGCAAUGCGCCAGAGGAGGAGCCUGCGUCUGAUUAGCUUGUUGGCGGGGU